UGGGGAAUCUUCCGCAAUGGACGAAAGUCUGACGGAGCAACGCCGCGUGAGUGAAGACGGCCUUCGGGUUGUAAAGCUCUGUUAUUCGGGAAGAACGAUUCGUUUGUGAACAAUGAACGGAAGUGACGGUACCGAAAGAGAAAGCCACGGCUAACUACGUGCCAGCAGCCGCGGUAAUACGUAGGUGGCAAGCGUUGUCCGGAAUUAUUGGGCGUAAAGAGCGCGUAGGCGGUAUGGUAAGUCUGUCUUAGAAGUGCGGGGCUUAACCCCGUGAGGGGACAGAGACUGUCAUACUGGAGUCUCGGAGAGGAAAGCGGAAUUCCUAGUGUAGCGGUGAAAUGCGUAGAGAUUAGGAAGAACACCGGUGGCGAAGGCGGCUUUUUGGACGAGCACUGACGCUGAGGCGCGAAAGCGUGGGGAGCGAACAGG
rnacentral:rRNA from 1 species